AACAAAGAACAGCUAACAUGGCACUGGCGAGGUGGGCGUGGCUUUGAAACGUUUGCUCGGGCUGCUUCUUUUGUACAGUCUUUAUUUUAUUUUUGACAGAUCUCUCAGACAUGUUCUGUGAAAACAGCAACAGUGAUGCCCCAAACAGAGCUUGAGUGGUCUCCCUGGUAACAAGGCCUGGGCUGGAGGCUGAAUGUUGAGUCACCAGGAAGCAAAACAAAAACCUUCUGAAGCACAAAAGUACGCCAAGGGGAAGAACUGUUCACUCCACAUCUUCAGCUAAUGAAACCACCAUCUUAUUGUCUCUAGUGGGCCACCUCUGGUCGGUGCUGUGGAUCUGUCUCUAGUGGGCCCUUUGGUCUGUGUUGUCCCAGUAGCGUGUGCAUCCGUCUGUGCGGGUCGUACUCCACUGGCCCCGCCCUGAAAGCAGGCUCCGCCCUCUCCAUCCACUCCGCCACAGAGAACUCUGGGAAGAAGAAGGCGAUCUCCCUCCGGGCGGAGUCCUCAGAGUCUGGGGGGGGGGGGGGGACAGCAGGGGUGAGCGCAGACAGACAGACCAUCAUAAGGGCAACAACACCCCUGUCUGUACUGAGGGGUGCAGUGGGGUUCAGCCAGGUUUAGGUUCAUUUGAAGUGUGUCCCCUCACGGAUUUUAGGGGGUGUUUUGGGAACCCCAUGUACCGCGUUCCCGAGCUCCUGGUGAGAGUGAGAAUACCACGCUGCCAGCCACCUGACCCGUGGGUGGCGUUCCCGGAUAGAGCCCGGAGAGAGACUCACCUGACCCGUGGGUGGUGUUCCGGGUGUCGGUCAGUCCGAAGCGGGCCCGGAUAGAGCCCGGAGCGUCGUAGCGCGCCCGGAACACUUUGGUGGGGCCUAUCAUGGCCCUCCAGUGAGACACGGCCUCCUCCCGCGCCAGAAUGUAGGCCCACAUCGGGCCGCUGCGUGGAGCAACACCCAAACAUCAGCUAGACUCAGACACUCAUAUAUACAGACAUAUUCAUACAGACAUUCAGACAGUCAUAUAUACAGACAUAUUCAUACAGUCAUAUAUACAGACAUAUUCAUACAGAUAUUCAUACAGUCAUAUAUACAGGCAUAUUCAUAUAGACAUUCAUAAAGUCAUAUAUACAGACAUUCAUACAGUCAUAUAUACAGGCAUAUUCAUAUACAGACAUUCAUAUAGACAUAUUAAUAUGCAGUCAUAUUCAAAUACUGACACAAUCAUCUCGCACACUCUCACGCUCACCUGGACAUGAACUCAACCAGCCUCUGGUAGAAAAACCGCCCUGAAAAACCCAGGGGAGAAAAUUCUUUAAUGUUACACAGGAUAAUAUUCCACUACAAUAUUUUAGUGGUUCCUCAUUUCAUUACCACAGACGAACUGUGCUAUAAUAUCAGAAGACAACAUAACCAUCAUAUAUUUCCUAUAAACUAUGGCUUCCUUUUAAUUUUUUAAAACUAAACGUGGUUGCUUGCUACCCCAGGACUACCACAUGGACUUAUGUUUUCAUCUCUACUACGAUGCUCCACCUCUACUAAGAUGGUCCACCUCAGCUAAGAUGCUCCACCUCUACUAAGAUGGUCCACCUCAGCUAAGAUGCUCCACCUCUACUAAGAUGGUCCACCUCAGCUAAGAUGCUCCACCUCAGCUAAGAUGGUCCACCUCAGCUAAGAUGCUCCACCUCUACUAAGAUGGUCCACCUCAGCUAAGAUGCUCCACCUCUAACGACAGCAGACAAUUUAACGACUGACACACUGACAUGGAACAAAACGUGGCCAAUGGUGACGCGGGGUUGGGCGGGGCCUAACAAAGCACCGCUGCUCCCCUGGGCUCCUGCCUAUCAAAAUCUAGCAAUUUCAAGUAAUAAUACUAUUUCUGAGAUUUUCCAUUGGAAUAUCCCUACUGGAUCUGCUCACGCUCUAAGAGGGGAGGUGUGAAUUUAUACAGCAAAUCGGAUUGGUGGGAAAGUACGGCAGCUGCUUUUUAAUUGGCUAUUCUCCCACUGAUAGCUUUACCUUUGUGUUCAGCAUAAAACCUCUCUGAAUCCUG